UGGAUUGCAAUUUAACUCUGCAGUGAAAACAGCUCCUACAACUUCAACGUCAGUCUUUUCCCACAGUAUAUCUGUGCAUAGAAUCAUAGAAUCAUUUGAGUUGGAAGGAACCUUUAAAUGUCAUCUAGUCCAACCCCUCUGCAAUGAACAGGGACACAUACAGCUAGAUAGGUUGUUCAGAGCCCCAUCCAGCCUGACUUUGAAUGCCUCCUUAUCAUAAAAAACUUUUUCCUAAUAUCCAGUCUAAAUCUUCCCUCUUUUAGGUUGAAACCCCCUGUCCUAUCACAGCAGACCCUGCCGAAGAGUGUUCCCUUCCUUCUUAGAGUCCCCCUUUAGAUACUGGAAGGCCGCUAUCAGGUCGUCCUGGAGCCUUCUCUUCUCCAGGCUGAACAGCCCCAGCUCUCUCAGCCUUUCCUCGUAGGAGAGGUGUUCCAUCCCUUGGAUCGUUUUUGUGGCCUUCCCCUGGAUGCGCUCCAACAGGUCCAUGUCUCUCCUCAACCAAGGACUCCAUACCUGGAUGCAUUUAUUUUUUAAGAAGCACCUACAGUUUAGAAGAAAAGGAAGAAAGAGCCUGUAAGACUGCAGGGACUCUGCUCUGAGGGAUGAGAUCCAGGAUGCCUUGAUUUCCAGUGUUGUCCAAGCUACACACAGAAGACUUUGCCUUGCCAGGUACUAAAUGUCUUCUUUCUUAGGUUCUUGCCUAUUCAGGAUCUUUCACCUGCU
rnacentral:lncRNA from 1 species